rnacentral:rRNA from 1 species
UGGGGAAUAUUGCACAAUGGGCGCAAGCCUGAUGCAACCAUGCCGCGUGUAUGAAGAAGGCCUUCGGGUUGUAAAGUACUUUCAGCGGGGAGGAAGGCGAUAAGGUUAAUAACCUUGUCGAUUGACGUUACCCGCAGAAGAAGCACCGGCUAACUCCGUGCCAGCAGCCGCGGUAAUACGGAGGGUGCAAGCGUUAAUCGGAAUUACUGGGCGUAAAGCGCACGCAGGCGGUAUGUCAAGUCGGAUGUGAAAUCCCCGGGCUCAACCUGGGAACUGCAUUCGAAACUGGCAGGCUAGAGUCUUGUAGAGGGGGGUAGAAUUCCAGGUGUAGCGGUGAAAUGCGUAGAGAUCUGGAGGAAUACCGGUGGCGAAGGCGGCCCCCUGGACAAAGACUGACGCUCAGGUGCGAAAGCGUGGGGAGCAAACA